CUUUCCUUGAAAAGAAAAAAACAAAACAAAAAAACACAAAACAAAAAGAAGUCUGCCCCUACCUUAUUUAAAUAAAAUAUUCACAUUCUUCUUAGAAUGGUAAUGUAUCUCCCCAUUAUUUUUUGCCUACAUAGUUUCAUUUGCCCUUUCAAAGUGCCCAUGCACGUCUAAGUUCGAUGCAAAUUGCGCGUAUGCGUGUUGCACUUUCACACAUCAUUAACCUACUUGUAAAGCUUAACCUCCCACCUGGUCACCUGUCCUCUCAGUAAGGGCCUGACACUGUCUCAGAUACCUAUCUCUCCUUAACACACCUGUCUGUAGCCCUGCUGCUAUUACACCUCUUGGUUGCCCUGACUGCUUGAGAAGACACAGGAGAGGGAUCAUGUGGCAACAAUACCGGAGAUGUACUUUAAUAGGGAGGAAGGGAGCUCGGGUGUAGGGUGUCUAGAUAAAGGCGGAGGGAGAGCUGGGCUUCUUGCAUGUGGGAUAUUUUACCUGAGCUUAUUGUCCUGCUCAUUUGCUCAACUGCCU